rnacentral:rRNA from 1 species
UGGUGGAGUGAUUUGUCUGGUUAAUUCCGUUAACGAACGAGACCUCAAUCUACUAAAUAGUUAUAUGUAUUGUGAAGGGUGUGAUGUUUUUCUUCGGAAAGGCGUGCAUCCGAUACAUAGACAACUUCUUGGAGGGACAGUCGAUAUCAUUAAGACGAAGGAAGUGUGAGGCAAUAACA